rnacentral:rRNA from 1 species
GGAACCUUACUUACUCUUGACAUCCAGCGAAUCCUUUAGAGAUAGAGGAGUGCCUUCGGGAACGCUGAGACAGGUGCUGCAUGGCUGUCGUCAGCUCGUGUUGUGAAAUGUUGGGUUAAGUCCCGCAACGAGCGCAACCCUUAUCCUUUGUUGCCAGCACGUAAUGGUGGGAACUCAAAGGAGACUGCCGGUGAUAAACCGGAGGAAGGUGGGGAUGACGUCAAGUCAUCAUGGCCCUUACGAGUAGGGCUACACACGUGCUACAAUGGCAGAUACAAAGAGAAGCGACCUCGCGAGAGCAAGCGGAACUCAUAAAGUCUGUCGUAGUCCGGAUUGGAGUCUGCAACUCGACUCCAUGAAGUCGGAAUCGCUAGUAAUCGUAGAUCAGAAUGCUACGGUGAAUACGUUCCCGGGCCUUGUACACACCGCCCGUCACACCAUGGGAGUGGGUUGCAAAAGAAGUAGGUAGCUUAACCUUCGGGC